UACGGAGGGGGCUAGCGUUGUUCGGAAUUACUGGGCGUAAAGCGCACGUAGGCGGCUUUGCAAGUUAGAGGUGAAAGCCCGGGGCUUAACUCCGGAAUUGCCUUUAAAACUGCAUCGCUAGAAUUGUGGAGAGGUAAGUGGAAUUCCGAGUGUAGAGGUGAAAUUCGUAGAUAUUCGGAAGAACACCAGUGGCGAAGGCGACUUACUGGACACAUAUUGACGCUGAGGUGCGAAAGCGUAGGGAGCAAACAGG
rnacentral:rRNA from 1 species